GGGUGUCCCCGCCUGACCUGGGGUCACGUUGCGAGGCGGCACGCCCUCCCGAGUGGAAGCGCAUAUGCACGCCCAAUCCGGGUGUCUUCGGCUCUUCGAAGACCGGGGACACGACAUCCUGCUGGAACCAAGUCCGUCACUCGUCGUGCCGACCCGGCCGACAGCCCUCUCUUAAGCCCACCGCACUUGAGUGCACGAGAGGCCAAUCUCCGAAGCCGCACACUGCCCAAGAGGGCAGUUGGCGCGGUUCGAUGCUAGGCGUGACGCCCAGGCAGGCGUGCCCUCGACCCAAAGGCCUCGGGCGCAACUUGCGUUCAAAGACUCGAUGGUUCACGGGAUUCUGCAAUUCACACCAAGUAUCGCAUUUCGCUGCGUUCUUCAUCGAUGCGUCGUUACCUUA
rnacentral:misc_RNA from 1 species